rnacentral:rRNA from 1 species
CCUACGGGUGGCAGCAGUCGAGAAUCAUUCACAAUGGGGGAAACCCUGAUGGUGCGACGCCGCGUGGGGGAAUGCAGGUCUUCGGAUUGUAAACUCCUGUCGUGUGGGAGCAAAUUAAAAAGAGAGUACCACAAGAGGAAGAGACGGCUAACUCUGUACCAGCAGCCGCGGUAAUACAGAGGUCUCAAGCGUUGUACGGAAUCACUGGGCGUAAAGCGUGCGUAGGCUGUUUCGUAAGUCGGGUGUGAAAGGCGCGGGCUCAAACCGCGGACGGCACAGAAUACUGCGAGACUAGAGUAAUGGAGGGGGAGGCGGAAUUCACGGUGUAGCAGUGAAAUGCGUAGAUAUCG